rnacentral:misc_RNA from 1 species
UCCCUAGUGAGGAUGGACCACGAAGUCCGUGGAGGGUGGAGGUUCGGGGCGCUUCCUGUGGUUGGCGCUAGCCUAAAAAAAUUCACGUCAAAAACGCGGCCGAAUGUCUUUUCAAUGCGACGAAAAUGGUGAAGCGUGGGAAAAAGUGGGCAUCGAGUGAAGACUUCGGUAGCUCGAAUCAUGACAGAGGCGUCGGACGAUGGUAACUACUUAGUACGGGUACGGGCACAGGUAAUGACACGGGACGAUAGUUCCGGAGGUUGGGUACCUUUAAGCGGAGGAGGCUUGGCAAAUGUCUCUGUGAGGCGAAGACCAACCUUCGUGGGAGGACAACAACCUACUAGUACUAAUAGUACCACUAUCCCUUCGGCGACGGUCACGUUGACGUCCUCAACCACCAACUCUGUGCAUUCCACCACAAGUACAACUGUCAAUACUCAAAGCCAUGGAUCUUCAAGCACGUCACCACCGUGCGCUACUAAAAGAAGACAUGAGUACCUCAUUUAUGGCAAACGCAUAACCGAUCAAUCGGUUGUUCUUAGCUGUACAAUAAAAAAGGAUUUUGAAUAUAAUAAGGUCAUGCCCACGUUUCAUCACUGGCGUACAGGAGAUAAGAAAUUUGGACUAACAUUUCAAACGGCUGCUGAUGCAAGAGCCUUCGAUAAGGGCGUUCGUACAGCAGUCGAAGAACUGUUGGAAGGUCUUGCCGAUUCAACUCAAUUUGGUGAUUCCACAGAUGUUGGUGAUGAUGACGUAUUUAUGACACUAAACUUACCAGUAGAACCCCUCGAUGUACAUCAGUCGGAAACGCGAAGCGGGAUAGGUCGCAUGCCCAGUUAUCAUUCCCAGUGCCCAGAUCUUCCGGAUCCGCACAGACCUAUCCAUUAUAUUGACGGGUCGUCCGUCAAAGUACCUCCAUCGCAACAUCCACUCGAAUCGUCCGGGGAUGUUGGAUCGGACAAUUAUCCUUACGUGCAGCUCACGACACUUAAUCAUGAAUAUUUAUACCCAGUCAUCGAGGAUCAUAAGGGAGACAGAUUAGAUAGGCGCAAUUCUGGAGGGUCUCUGAAGAAGCCAGAUAUAAUAGUAUCGCAACCUACCAAGAGUCCAGUCAAACGCAACAUCCGUUUGCGUUGUAAACAUUGCCAGGAACUGUAUUCCGAGCAACACAAUUCAAAGGGGUCCUGUGAAUAUGCCCCUGAUCCGAUAAGGCGAGGAAUCGAUACAGUGUCUUGCCUCUCUUGUGCUCAGUGCAUGCUUUAUCACUGCAUGAGCGACGCCGAGGGUGACUUCACGCAAAACCCGUGCAGUUGUAGGAUGGAAGAAGGUUGUGCUCGGCAAUGGUUCGGACUGGCACUGCUGUCGAUGAUCGUUCCUUGCUUAUUGUUUUAUCCACCGCUAAGAGCCAUCCACUGGUGCGGAAUGACCUGCGGGAUGUGCGGUGGUCGUCACUAUCCCAUGGAAUAACUGGAGGAGCCCUUUGAUAUCUCUGCUCCAUUCUCAGUCGAGCUGGAACAUUUGACGUCGUCGCGGAACGUAGUGGCCAAUGUUUACGAAUGUCACGACUUGAAUAUGGGCCGGUGUCAGAGAUAUCAAAGGGGUAGGCAGCUUCCGGUACACGCGCUUAUUCAUCAGCGUCACCUCUGAGUCAGCAUAUGCACCAUUAAAAGAAGAAACGACGGCUCUUCUUAAGCAUACAUGUGAGACCUGGUUCAAAUAUCUGUAAUUGCAGACUUCAAUGAUGACGCCUUCGAGAUGAUAAUAAUGGCUACGUUAUACGUCUGCUAAAUGCCUUUAACUUUUCGACACUGUUAUUCCAAGAAAUCAUCAAUAUUUUUUACCUGCAAGUAUACACUGCUUGGUAUUCUAACGUUUAUAUUUCGUCUCUUAUUCCUUACACUUUUUAUUACGUGCGGUUUUUGAAUUCGAUAUGAUGUGAGGCUUAGUAUGAACACACGGACUUUUACCAUGGGCACAAAUGGACACUGCUUAAAACGGGCUAAUCCACUCGCGUGGUGGCCGGUAAUAUUUUCUAAGCACACGAAGUUUACCUUACGUUUUACUUAAACCCGGAGAAAUUACUUCUUAACGUGACAAUGCCUUCAAUUUGAGCGAGAUAGAACAUAAUGUAAUAAAUAAGCUGUUUCGUUUGAACCAUCUUUACUGGAUGGUCCAUAGGUGACAUCAAUACUUAGCUCAUCAUGGAAAAUAUAGUCUAAUACCGUUGAAAUCUAGGAAUGGCAGAAUGAGAAGUACAUUAUUGCUAUUUGUUGCUCAUUUUCAAAUUUGCAAAGAAAUGCACGAGGAAAAUCCCAUAUGAUUGCUUUUCGUACAACAGUAGCUACUCAGAAACAAGUGGUUAAUUACUUUUUCGGUAUAAGUAAACGGUACUUGGUAAUGAAAGCGCAAAAGCACCGAUGGAAAUUUAAAACUAAACAACAGCCUGUCUUGUUGCUACCUUGAUUAUGUAUUAUGCCAGUCAAUGAUUUUUGACUUUAUCGAAAGUUCCUUUUUCAAAUAUGUUACGUUGUUAUAUUAACAUAAGACUUAUUCGAACUGUGGAAAGUAGAAUGCACUGAUAUUCAGAAAUAUUGAGCCUGGACUGGCUCCACGUUUCGUGUUGGCAACAUACCGAUCAAGAGACACGACAUCAUCUCUCUAGAUCUCGAUUCUGACGAAUACAACAGUAUUAAAAACAGUUUCCAUUUUUUCUCUAAUUAUUUUUAAAUGUUCUUUCCGAAGAAUCUAAUCCAGCCAACUUUGAAUGCACAAUUUUCACGUUGGAUUGCUGUUCCCAUCGUAGAAUUCAGAUGUUUUUGCUCUUAUCGAUCCUACGGCAUUUUUAAGAUUUUACCGUGUUAUACACGUUGAUUCUGAUAUUGCGUGUUUUUCUUUCUGCGACCAUAAUAUUCGUGUAAUGAAAUUUCAAUAGCUUUUUAUUUAUGAUUGUUACAUUAUCCAUGGGACUACUCCUUUCUUAAUUAUGCCGACUACUUCUAUGUCUUACUAGUGUUUCAUACCGAUAUGAUUAAUUUAAUCGAUCGUCGGAUUUUGAUAAUGAUUUUUCCGUUAAUAUUAUUAAGGCUUAUAAAUCACCUAAAGGCCCCGUACUGUUAUUAAAAUCAUAAGUGUCAGGCCCGUUUUAGCCAAUAUGAGAAUUUUCUAUAGGCGACACUUAUUAAUUGCUGUAAAGAGAAAAAAUGGAAAAAGGACAGUUCUUCCGGCUUCGUGAUUUUCAACGCACUCCAAAGAACCCAGAGAGCCUGCUUUAAUAUUCGAAUGACGUAUCCCGAAGUUGGUACACGCGUAAUACAAAUAAAAAUGAUAUAAUAAGUAAAAAAAACCAUCCACAUCUGCCACAUCCGCAGCUAUUGGAUAUGACGUAGUUAGCAAUUGUUUAAAGUAAUGUACACCGUAAAUUACCACGUUCGCCACCAGAACAACUGGCGAGGAAACUGUUACACGAUUGUCAGUCGCCGGUGCCUGCCGUGGCAGUGAACGUGUUAAACAUGUAAAAUACCGUAAGUUUUUCUACAGAUAAGGGAAACGCGACUAGUUCUUGAUGAGCGUAAGUAACGUGGUUCUUAUUAGCUCACUUACUUUUGAGAGUACGUUUUAGCUCUCCUCGUACAGCACAAAAUGUUCAAGAAUGUAAGCACCACUGUCAUUAGAGCUAUUCAAGUGAUACGCAACAUACUUUUCUCCCCAUUUUUGAUACCUACUCAGUCUCAUGUAACGCAUUAAAAAGAAUAACCAAGUAUUUCAAAUGUAAAUGUUCCCUUAGCAUCAUUACCUGGAACGGCACUUUUUCAGCUUUUGACAAAAUCUCAGCUUUAUCCACAUUUCUACCGACUGUUUGAAACUUACUCGUAAUCUUGUGUACUUCGUGUUAAUUUCUUUCAUUCCAUUUCACUUUUAUUUCAAACAGAACCUGUAAUGUACUAGUUCCCUUGAUUAUGUACAUUCCCUCUACUGAAUUUUUUUAUUUUUCCUUCCCCAAGAAGGAAUGCGUAUUUUAAUUUAUUAAUUUCUGGAUAUCUCCUUGACGAUUUCAUUUAAAAAAGAAAAUAUGUUCGGCUUUCUAUCGAAGCCCUCUUGUGCUCCUAUAUAAUGAAUAGUAACAUCGUAAGUACUUGUAAAAUGUCUUGUAUGUAUUAUUUGAAUGGCUGCUUUCUGGCUUUGUGCUGUACGAGUAUGUCCUAUUCAGUCGACUUUUUACCUAUCGAUGCAAAUCGGGGAAAAUGGAAUUAUUUAAAGAACACGGUGAUAGGCUCAAUCUCGUGAAAAUAAAAAGCUACGAACGCGCAUUCUUUCGAGCCCUGGUAUCGAAUCCUUUUUUACUGUUUCUUCGCGUUUAAUGCAAGUCUGCGACACUCGCACUAUUGGACGGAAAGUGUAUGUAUAAUGCAAUUAUUCGUUGAGAGUAAUUCUGUAUCUUUCUUUUUUUUUCUCUCUCUCUUUUUCAUUGAUCUUUCCUUUUUAUAAGGGGAAUUGCUGUUCACUGCGCUGGACACGUAUCGGAGGUAUCAUAUCUAAGGGCUCGAUAUCCUCAAUGAAAUUACAGACUGCAAAUGUACCUGCUACGGGUCCUUAGAUUAGCUUCUUCUAGAUUUUUUUAGAGCCUGCAACCUCGAAUCUGUGCUGACUUCUUUCACAGAAAAACCUGUAACGCAUUUGUUUUAUUUAAACGAUUACUCGUAUUUACACCAAAAGCAUUUCGUGUCUUACUUGAGACUAAUUAUUUUUUUACGAUCCCUAAUCGAGGCGAAACGAAUUGUUAUACAUAAAUAGGUACAUAUUCGAUUCCCUUUGUAUAGAUGUCUUCUUAGUCCUCACGUGUGGAGUACCAUUUGAAUUGACGAGUAUAAAUAUUCUUUUUGACGUAGGUGUGGAUGUUACGAAUUUCAAUGAAAUCUCUUGGUUUGUGUUAUAAUAGCUUAUGCUCAUAUGUGUUAAAGCGAUUAUAUCAAUGGGAUUUUACAUUCUUUCUUCGUUGUUACAUGUGCAUCUUCUGUGUAACUUUCUUUCUUAUAGAUGUCUAAUGAUGAUGAAAGAAAAAAAAACAAACAAACAAAACGUUUAUCCUUAUCGUGUUCUCUUGCAAUAGAAUCUUAUUAGCAUCGUUUUAUUGUACAUUAUCUUAAUGUAUCUAAAUUUGCGGUAAUCAGUAAUACCCAACAAUCGAUGUAAUAUCGUUAUAAUUAUUUGUCAGUUAAGAUAGUCCUUUGUCGCUUAAUUUCUGUACUUGAUUUGUUGAUUAGAUCCGCAAUUAUGCUGGAUCAAAGACGGAAGUAAUGUUACUCUUUGUCUCGUGAUGAAACGAGUGUUCAUGCGUUUUACUUAAUGUCAAAAUAGGAAAUCUAGCAUUACGCUGUUCCUGUGAUCAUUAUUUCGUUGCUUUAGUAAUUAGUUCCCACAUGGUGCAAGCUGGAGAGAAUUUUGUCGGGAUAGAUUCGUAAUGGAUGAUAAUAGAGGAAUGGAAUCGAUCGGGAUAAGAUGUGAAAAUGAUUGAAAAUAGCGUUGCGGAUGCAUCUCAAUUUAAUGCAUUUCUUUUCUCUUCCUUUCGCGAUAAAUGGAGAGGAAGUUAAGAACUGUGAAAUCUAUUCUGUUCUCGACAGUUAAACAACAUGUACUUAUUGAAGGAUUUCGUGUAAAUUAUGGAAACUUAUUGAAGGAUUUCGUGUAAAUUAUGGAAAUAAUAUAUUCAAUAAUGUCUCUUAAAGCACGAGCUUCUUUAAUUACGAAUACAUAAUCUCGAUAACGAUCUAUACAAGGGGAGAGUAAAAUGUACAAGAAAGGUGCUUUUUCAAGCGGAUAAUAAUGUAUUCGUUGGUAUUGACUUUUUUACGGUUUUGUAUAUUCAAAAGGUGACGGUGUGUUCCUAAGGUCUCAGAGGAGUACACUUGUAGUUUUUUUUUUGUUUUCUCCUUAGAGUAGCCAUAGACAUAAUAUUGUUUUGUACGCUCUUGUACAAGUAAACGCGCGCACGAGAGAGUUUUAACGUGUACAUGAUCGAAGAAUUUCCUCUUCGGAAAGUCGAGUUUCAGAUAAAAAUAAUAACAACGUGUAGGGAAAGAAACAAUAUGCGGCAUCCUAAGUUAUAUUCUAUUCUUCUAAUGCCAGUACUCCUUCAAGCGUUCGUUUCAAUUGUAGUUUAGUAUGCGACCCUCCAAAGAGCUUCGAACAUUCUACUGUUACGAUUUGAUGAAUCUGGAUCAAAGUUAGAACCGAUUGAAAACAUCCAGUGUCAUUUAAUUGUGCUUCAUCAUUGCGCCAUUAAUUGUAGUAUUACAUUUAAAUUAUUAAAGAUUCCGCGAGAAGUUUGUAAACGCUUUUGGUAGGAAGCUCUAUGACAUGAUUCAAAGUCACAAAUCGUUGAAAAUUGUGAAGAUCGAGCGUCUCUCAAAGUGUACAUAAUAUGACGUUGUUUACUGCCAUGGUUAUCAUUUAAUUUAGUCGUUCGUGUAAUUACCACAAUUUUACUAAUUUGAAGUAUUACAUCGAUAUAUCCAACGUACACAUUGUAUGUACAAUAAUCUAUAAUAUUGUGACACUUUUAGUUAGAAAUAAGUACAAAAGCUAUUUUCCCAAUAAGUCAGUUACGAUGACUCAUACCAAAUGAGGAUAUGCAUGUAAUCAUCUUAAAAGGUACAAUGCCGAGUGGAUGUGUAUAUUUCAGUAGACGAAGAAAAUUGUAAUUAAGUUGCUGCCGUUAAUAGAGUUUGAAUGCAAGAUGUAAAUGUGUUGAGAAUUAUAUCGUGUCUAUAAUUACAUUGAUCCAUGAUAAAAUGGAGGUUAUUAUAAAGUAACGUGUAACAAUGAUAGCGACGAUAAUUAUCGGGAGAGAGAGGAGAAUGAAUAUACAUGUACAAACGAAAGGUCAAAAUUGCGUACGUGUAUUAAGAGUGUGAGAGAAUGCUCAAUUGAAGGAGGUUCACUGAGGUGCCCUGUCGUUCUUAUCAAUAAUUUUAAUCGCGUCAGUGGUCAUACUAAAGUGGGACGACUUCGGUUGUUGAAUCCAUUUUGCAGGGUUUUCCAUGCAUGUUGUAAAUGCUGCGAGAUCAACGAGUAAGAUUUUAAUUCACCAAUUCAUUAUAUCAUAAAUGUUUAAAUCUUAUAUCACUGUAAUUAAAUAAAUAUGUAUUAUAAUCUCAAUGAAUGAAAAAUAAAUAUAUUGUAUUAUGACGUAA